rnacentral:rRNA from 2 species
CGGCAACGGAUAUCUCGGCUCACGCAUCGAUGAAGAACGUAGCAAAAUGCGAUACUUGGUGUGAAUUGCAGAAUCCCGUGAACCAUCGAGUUUUUGAACGCAAGUUGCGCCCGAAGCCUUUUGGCCGAGGGCACGUCUGCCUGGGCGUCACAC